rnacentral:tRNA from 1 species
AAUUUUUUGGCAUAGUGGUUAUAUAACUUUCAGGCAACAUUGUCUGUAGUUACCUGCAAUAAAUUUAAAUAUGAAUAAACAAGUCAUUGUGGUAAGGGUUGAGUUAUUCAAUAACCUUGGGUACAAGAUAUAAAUCCCUGUCUACCAGCGGUGCGCAUGACUGGAUUGCAUGAUGCUCGUCUUUUUCAGUAACUGCAUCGUCGCGUAAACGCAAGGCCAGUUCAUGCGGAUGUGCCAUCGGUUCAAUCCCGUCAGUAUUGA